rnacentral:rRNA from 1 species
GUGGGGAAUCUUCCACAAUGGACGAAAGUCUGAUGGAGCAACGCCGCGUGAGUGAAGAAGGGUUUCGGCUCGUAAAGCUCUGUUGUCGGGGACGAAUGUGCAGUAUUUGAAUAAAGUAUUGCAAUGACGGUACCUGACGAGGAAGCCACGGCUAACUACGUGCCAGCAGCCGCGGUAAUACGUAGGUGGCAAGCGUUGUCCGGAAUUAUUGGGCGUAAAGGGAGCGCAGGCGGGAAGGUAAGUCGGUCUUAAAAGUGCGGGGCUCAACCCCGUGAUGGGAUCGAAACUAUCUUUCUUGAGUGCAGGAGAGGAAAGUGGAAUUCCUAGUGUAGCGGUGAAAUGCGUAGAUAUUAGGAGGAACACCAGUGGCGAAGGCGACUUUCUGGACUGUAACUGACGCUGAGGCUCGAAAGCCAGGGGAGCGAACGGGAUUAGAAACCCUGGUAGUCC